rnacentral:rRNA from 1 species
UGGGGAAUAUUGCACAAUGGAGGGAACUCUGAUGCAGCGACGCCGCGUGAGUGAUGAAGGAAUUCGUUUCGUAAAACUCUGUUCUAUGGGAAGAAAAGGACUGUACCAUAGGAGAAAGCUCCGGCUAAAUACGUGCCAGCAGCCGCGGUAAUACGUAUGGAGCGAGCGUUGUCCGGAAUUAUUGGGCGUAAAGGGUGCGCAGGCGGCUUUACAAGUUGGAUGUGAAAUAUUGUGGCUCAACCACAAACGUGCAUCCAAAACUGCAAAGCUUGAGUUAAGGAGAGGUAAGUGGAAUUCCUGGUGUAGCGGUGGAAUGCGUAGAUAUCAAGAGGAAUACCGGUGGCGAAGGCGACUUACUGGACUUAAACUGACGCUCAGGCACGAAAGCGUGGGGAGCAAACAGG